rnacentral:rRNA from 1 species
GUCCUUUAGAUUUAAAUUAAAGGUCUAACCUGCCCACUGAAAAAGUUUAAAUGGCCGCAGUAAAUUGACUGUGCAAAGGUAGCAUAAUCAAUAGUUUUUUAAUUAAAAGCUUGUAUGAAUGGUUGGACGAGAUAAAAUCUGUCUUUAAUUAAAAAGUAGAAUUUAAUUUUUAAGUUAAAAAGCUUAAAUUUUAUUAAAAGACGAGAAGACCCUAUAGAUCUUUAUAAUAAAUUAUUUAUUUUUAUUGAGGAUUAUUUAGUUAUUUUAUUUGAUUUAUUAUUUUAUUGGGGUAAUAUUGAGAUUGAAUUAAUUCUUUUUUGAAAAAACAUUUAUUUUUGAUUAAUUGAUCCAUUAUUAGUGAUUAUAAGAUUAAGUUACCUUAGGGAUAACAGCGUAAUUUUUUUAGAGAGUUCUUAUCGAUAAAAAAGUUUGCGACCUCGAUGUUGGAUUAAAAGUUAUUCUAGGUGUAGUAGUUUAGAGAUUUGGUCUGUUCGACCAUUAAAUUUUU